UAAUUAAAUAAUUCAAUUAUCUUUUUCUCUCUCUAUCUUCUUCUUCACCCUGUAAGUUACUGGUUUUUACCCUGUAAGUCACCGGCUGAAAAAGAGCAGGUUAAUUUUUUUUCCAAGUUAGGUUAUUUGAGUCCUAGCAUGUUGGAAAAUUAAGAUCUAUACUGUUGAGUUAUAGUACCUGAGAGAUACGUUUGGGCGAUGAAUCUGAAGCAUCAAGGGCCAGAUCUUGGCAAGUUGGAAUCGACGCCAUCGCUUCCUUUUCAACCAACAUAAGGAAGAUUUCGAAGACUGUUAAGUGGAGGUAUACGUCGUCGGCUCUGAUGUUGAUAAUAUUUAACCAAUAUAUAUCACCGGAUAUGUACUGCAGUGCCGCCUGAAUCCCUUUCAGCUGUGUAAUACUAAAGACUUUGAUCUGUCCGGUAAUCUCUUUCAUGAAGCGAAUGGUAGUAAUGGGUGUGUACUGGACUUGACAUGUGUUCUUAAGGUAGAUAGUGAAGUUGAAACCCUCUUCUAGAGGGCAUAGGAUGUAAGAUUCGACGGAGUCAGGUAGAAGGCCGGGUGGAAAUCCAAAUACUUUGAGGACGUCGUGUAUCGGCGGGCUUGCAGAGGUUGACGCCACGAGUGCGAGUAGCACAAGGAGGAAGAGAGGCAUUUGGGAAGUUGCCAUGGUUACUAAGUUACUAAGUUGUGAGGUGAGGACUUGAAUAGGAUCUGAGAUUGCAAUAUAUAGGCGAAAAAUCAAUAGCUAUCCCCGUAGGCCCGUAUUAACUAACUAGAUUAUUAGACCCGUGUACUACACGUGUUUAACGAUAUAAAAUUAUAAAUUAUUUAAUGUUAUACUGUCUUUGUAAAUUUAUGUAAGUGAAUUUUUUU
rnacentral:lncRNA from 1 species